GCAGCCUCACCGGGACCGGGCAGCCUCACCGGGACCAGGCAGCCUCACCGGGGCCGGGCAGCCUCACUGGGGCCGGGCAGCCUCACCGGGACCGGGCAGCCUCACUGGGGCCGGGCAGCCUCACCGGGACCGGGCAGCCUCACCGGGACCAGGCAGCCUCACCGGGACCGGGCAGCCUCACCGGGACCGCACAGCCUGAAUCCUUCAGGCUGAGACAGCUCGGGAUCUGGGCAGCCAAGAGAAGCCGAGCAGAUUGUGAAAAUCUGCUGGAGCUCUGAAGUGUGAUAGCAGGUGAAGGGUACCCUUCGAAGGGAUGUGACAGAAUGGUAUUCCUGUGGGAUAUAAAGAGAAGCAAGUAGGAUGAAAUCAUGUUCCUAUUAUACUAGAGUACCAAUGUCUUUAUAUAAAGUAGCUCUUCAGAUCUGCCUGCUCCUAACCACAAUCCUCAAAGCUACUUACGAGUUCCUUCCACCUGCUAACUCCACUGACAAGUCCCUUGGCAGUGUGUUGCCUUGGAGUACCAACACCUCCGUGGUCUUCUCUCCGCAUUCCAGGAUUGCUGCAGCUCUCUUGAAUUUCAGUCCUGUGCUUCAGGGAAGAAUAGAAGAUUUAGCACCCCAUGGCACUUAACAGAUUCCAAGAGACGAUGUAUUCAAAACAUUAUCUUCCUUUUCUCUAAAAUGGAUGGAAUCUUCCAGAAGAUCUGAGACUCUGCACAAUCAGGUGUACUGUCUGAUAUGCCUCCUCACACAUAAGUACAGAGGGAUUUGGAAAACAAGGGUUUCUCUGACAUCUGUUACAUGCUGAAGGCUGCCCUGGAAUUGUUCAAGGAACGACUCGACCUGGCACUUAGUGCUGUGCUUUAGCUGAUAUGGUGACAGCUGGUCAAAGGCUGAAUCUUGGAGAUCUUUACCAACCUUAAUGAUUCCAUGACUCUGUGAUUGGCUGAAGGUAAAAGCUUUUGGGGAACUGAGCCUCCUGUUAGUCAACAGGCCAGAGUUCCAGAUUGAUACGGAUGCCAAAUUCUGGGGUGGGAUGUGAUGCAAAAUCUUACUGAGGGUUUCCACAGCCAGAGAAUCUGUCCAAUAAGCCCAGUUAAUCUGAUAUUACAGCACAAGCCUUUCUCAAUUGCUCUUCAUUUAGAACAGUCCUCUUCACAUGGUAAAUUAGGUGUCUGCUGGAGUAAGCAGGUGAAUUUGGGUCUCUAACAUCACUACAGGUUGCCUUAGUGGAAGGCAAUAGAAUUCUUUCUGCUUUCCUUCUCUCUCACCUCCUCCAUCCCCCACAUUUUCAUAAAAUAGAUUGAGCAUUUAGUCCAGUAUUGCCUCUUCCAAGAUCAUUCUGUCAGAAUGAUCCAUCCUGACAGACAGGAAGCCAAGGAAAGAUGGGAGGAGGUCUGCAUGGAUGAAAUAGGAGCCGCAGACAAACCUCAAAUACAAAAGAAAGAAACAUGAAAGAGGUGGAAUUAGUUUCAGAUCUCCCAUAAGGAAUACAGACACAUUAUAUCAUGCAAGGAUGAGUUUAGGAAAAUGAAAGCCCAGCUGGAGUUUGAUCUGGUGAGGGAUAGAAAGGAAAACAGGAAGGGCUUCUAUGAGUGUAUUUACUCAUAGGAAAAGGAAAUAAAAAGGGCAAGGGGGGAGUGGAAUGUAGGCUUGCUGCUGAAUGAGACCAUGGAAAAGACCAAUGACUUCUUGGCUGGAGAUAUGGGACACCCAGAAUCUUGGUGUGAGACAGGGCACCUGAUGGUGAUUAGCCCCAGGCACCAGUACAGACCAGGGAGGUCUACCAGCUGCAAAGCACCUUGGCAGAAAGGGCCUGAUGGCCUGUGGGUGCUGGUGGACAACAAAUUGACUGUGAGCCAGGAACCUGCCCUUGAAGCAAGGAUGGUCAACAGCAUCCUGGAUGGCCUGAAGAAGACCAUUGCAGGCAGAUGGAGUCAGGUGCACCUUCCUUUGAGCUCACCAGUGUAGAAGCAACAUCUGGAGUGCUGCAGGAUAAGGACAAAAACAUACAGGGGCAAGUCUAAUGAAGGAACAUGAAGAUUUGAAGGAACAUGAAGAUUAUCCAUGGGCUGGAGCAUAUGACAUGCAGGAGGAUGCUGAAAAAGUUGGAACUGUUUUCAGCCUAGGAAAGAGAAGGUUCAAUGGGAUCUGAACAAUUUCUGUAUCAAUACCUGAUGGAGACAGUAAAGAGGAUAGAUACUCUUCUCAGCAGUAUCCUGUGAAAGAGUCAAGGGCACAAAAUCAAAUAUGUGAAAUUAUUUUCAAAUUUUAAAAGCUUUUUUUUUUUUUUUUUUAAGUUAUUGUGAAUGGUCAGAUACUAAAACAGGCUUCCCCGAGAGUUUGUGUAGUCUCAGUCCUUGGAGAUAUUCAAUGCCUGCCUAGACACAAUGCAACAGUUGACCCUCCCACUCUGUGUCGGGUGUUGGAGUAGACAAUCUCCAGAGGUCCCUUCCAAACUCUGUGAUUCUGUACAGUAACACAUUAUUUCAGGCACAGUUCUGAUAGGACCAGUGCUUCUAUGUACAACUUCUUUUUUCCUUUGUGGCAGAGACGAAAAACAUUUCUAUCUUUUGAUUCUGCUUUCAGGAUAACAUUCAGCCUACAGUUAUUGUGGGACAUGAGUGAAUCCUCAUGCUCUCUUCAGCAGGCUUCUAUGCCCUGCUUCUCCUGUUGCCCAAGGAAACUUAUUGAAGCAUCACAGCUCAUCCCUGUCCCCAGCUUCCAUCUCACAAGGACAUGGAAAAUACCAAAGUAUAUAUUAUCUUUUCGUGUGGCAUAAGCACAAGAUAAGCCUGAGGCAUGAAGAACGGUAUGUGCACUGCCGGCACUCUUCCACUCCAGCUCUGUCUGAGAGUGGUCCUUUCAUUCAGGAACAGAUCAAAUACCCCUUACUCUGCUUCAAG